rnacentral:tRNA from 1 species
GCCUAGCUGGCGGAAUGGUAGACGCAAACGACUCAAAAUCGUUCGGAGAAAUCCAUGCGAGUUCGACUCUCGCGCCAGGCACCA